rnacentral:rRNA from 1 species
GCGGCAAGACCUUGACUGAUCCAGGCUCUAACAUAUAUGCGAGUGUUUUGAAAGGGAAACGAUUGAAGUCAGUCAUGCUCGUGAGGAAUCAACUUGAUGGUGUGUGGGUUCUCUCGCAUACUUUCCGGUGCACUUCCUCGCUCGGCAGGUUAGCAUCAAUUUCGGUUAUCAAUAAAAAUUUGAGGGAUGUGGCUUUCUCGGGAAGUGUUAUAGACCUCGAUCGAUGUGGUGACCGGGAUUGAGGAUUGCAGCGGAUACCCUGUGGCUUGUCA